GACGAACGCUGGCGGCGUGCUUAACACAUGCAAGUCGAACGGAAAGGCCCUGCUUUUGUGGGGUGCUCGAGUGGCGAACGGGUGAGUAACACGUGAGUAACCUGCCCUUGACUUUGGGAUAACUUCAGGAAACUGGGGCUAAUACCGGAUAGGAGCUCCUGCUGCAUGGUGGGGGUUGGAAAGUUUCGGCGGUUGGGGAUGGACUCGCGGCUUAUCAGCUUGUUGGUGGGGUAGUGGCUUACCAAGGCUUUGACGGGUAGCCGGCCUGAGAGGGUGACCGGCCACAUUGGGACUGAGAUACGGCCCAGACUCCUACGGGAGGCAGCAGUGGGGAAUAUUGCACAAUGGGCGGAAGCCUGAUGCGGCAACGCCGCGUGCGGGAUGACGGCCUUCGGGUUGUAAACCGCUUUCGCCUGUGGCGAAGCGUGAGUGACGGUAAUGGGUAAAGAAGCACCGGCUAACUACGUG
rnacentral:rRNA from 1 species